rnacentral:rRNA from 1 species
GAUGAACGCUAGCUACAGGCUUAACACAUGCAAGUCGAGGGGUAACGAGAGGGAAGCUUGCUUUCCUUGUCGACGACCGGCGCACGGGUGAGUAACGCGUAUCCAACCUGCCCCCAACUAGGGAAUAACCUUGCGAAAGUAAGACUAAUACCCUAUAAUUUCCUCAGAUGCCAUCUGACGCGGACUAAAGAUUUAUCGGUUGUGGAUGGGGAUGCGUCUGAUUAGCUUGUUGGCGGGGUAACGGCCCACCAAGGCAACGAUCAGUAGGGGUUCUGAGAGGAAGGUCCCACACAUUGGAACUGAGACACGGUCCAAACUCCUACGGGAGGCAGCAGUGAGGAAUAUUGGUCUAUGGGCGGAAGCCUGAACCAGCCAAGUAGCGUGCAGGAUGACGGCCCUAUGGGUUGUAAACUGCUUUUAUACAGGAAUAAAGUUAGCCACGUGUGGUUAUUUGUAGGUACUGUAUGAAUAAGGACCGGCUAAUUCCGUGCCAGCCGCCGCGGUAA